rnacentral:lncRNA from 1 species
GAAUAGACCAAACAUUGAUGAAGAUUUUAGUGUCCUUAGGGACGGUGUAACCGCCGACCACAGCUGUUUCAGCUGGACGGUGAGGGACUAACAAAGGAACGGUCGGGUAAAGCCUAAGUGUUUCUUUCAUAAUGGCUACUAUGUAAGGUAGUCUAGUGAUGUGUGAUUCUUCAACAAUGUUAUCCUUUCCUACAACUUCGUCUAGCUCUUGUUGCGCUCUCUUCAUCGACUCUGGGUUCUUUAUAAGCUCGGCCAUCGCAAACUCUAUCGUGUUUGUAGAUGUAUCAGUACCACCAAUCACCAUAUCCUUCGCAUAUACAGUACGUAUAUAACAAACAUGAAUCAAAAUCAUUCUCAUGAGCUAAGAGACAUGUUAUGAAACAAUUAAGGGCAAAUCUCUAAAAAUAACAUAAAAGAUUGUUUUUAUGACCAAAAGAACACAGAAAAAAUGACUAAAUUAAAUAUGUUUCAUUAAAAAGGUAAAUAACAAUUAUAUUUCUACUUAAAUAUUUUUAAAAGAGAUUUUCGCAAUAAACUGAAUUUUUUAUUUAAAAAAAAAUAUUCUAAUUUUUUCUCUCCAAAAGAACCAGAACAACCCAAAAUUAAACUCUUGGGGGAGGAGUAUAAAUGUCUUUUACUCUUCAAUAAAAUCUAUUUUAGUUAUUUUGAUUUUGAAAACUAUUUUUGUGAUAAAAACUUUUUAGUACUGCUAUAUUUCUCAACAGUUAAUUACCGCGAGAACAGCUUUGACAUGGUUAACCGUAAUGGGAACCUCCGAGUUGGCUUCUUGGUCCUUUAGCUUCAUCAACUGUUGCAAAAAGUCUUUGCACUCACCAUCAUCCUUACUUUCUAGUUUUGGCAUCUUCUCAAUGGCUCCGUCGAAUAUGGCAAGACAGUCAGUUUAGUGUUUCUUUGUUAUUUAUUACCCUGUUCUGCUGUUAAAAUCUUUGUUUGUUUUCCUUUUUAAGCUUGGGUGGAUCUCUUGAUCUUUUUUUCGGUUUCUCUUGUAUGUUGUGUAAGUUGACAGACGAAGCAAGAGUUCUGUGUUUCUUUGUAUGAUGUUUCAAGUAACUACACUUUUGAGAGAAAAGUUUGGGGUUGGGAUUAAACCAGUGUGGCUUUCAAUAUUCCCAGUUUUGCUCCCUUUUAUUUACAGCCCCUGUUUUGGUCUGCUUUAAGACAUUUAUUUUCCUACCACUCUACAACAGCGUGAAUGGUGAUGGGCUGUUGAUAACUUUAUGCCGGAAACUACUAUGUUAUCUGGCCUUGAAAUAUUUUUCUCGAAAAUUAAAGAAAAGAGAAUGAUAUCGAGCAGGUAUGAAGUGUUUAAAGUGAUUUUAAUUAAAAUUAUAAAUAAUUAUCAUUGAAAAAUAUAUAUGUUUUAUAAAUGAAAAUAUGUGUUUUUAAGUUUACAAUCUGAAAAAUAUUUUAAAUAGGUGAUUUAUAAAGAUUGAUCGUAACAUUAGUGUAUUUUGUUGUAAUUCUUAAACAAAACAUAAAAAUGAAAAAAUUAUUUUGGACUGGCUUUAAGAUAUUUUAAUUUCAUUAUAAUAUUUUUAAUUCAACUAAACUAUCUUAAACUCAUUAAAAACAUAAGAAAAAAAACUAGAUGAAUACACAUUUCUAGAUGUUUUUUUUUUUCCCAUAUAGAACUUAAAGAAAAAAACUAUAAACAUUUCGAAAAUUGGGUUCUUGGUAUUGUUAUGUUUUUAUUCAGACUUCUUUUGUUUCUUAGUUCGACUUGGGGCAUAACAGUCUGAACUACUCCUCGGCAAAAACUACAAAACCAAAUUCUAUAAAUCCGAUUCAGGUCGGGUACGGGUUUGAUUUCCAUCCUUCCCUCCGUCAGUUUGAAUACUCCGGCAAUGUUUUCUCGAUUCCUCCACAGGAUCCGAAGUUCAAAAACCCCAAUCACGUCUCUCAAUUCAAUCAAACCUUUCACCUCGCUCAACCCUAAACCCCCAACCCGAGUCGCCGUCUUCUGGGACCUAGACAACAAACCACCCGCCUCCCACCCUCCCCACGACGCCGCCGUAAAGCUCCGAACCGCCGCGUCAUCCUUCGGCUCCGUGAAACUAAUGGUGGCCUACGCGAACCGCCACGCCUUCAGCUACGUCCCCGCGCAAGUCCGAGAGGAGAGGAAAGAUCGGAGACUCCUUAACCAACUGGAGAAAACCGGUUUAGCUAAACCGGCCGAGCCGUACUUCUGCGGCGUCUGCGACCGGAGAUUCUACGCCAACGAGAAGCUCAUCGCUCAUUUCCGCCAGAUCCACGAGACGGAGAAUCAGAAGCGCGUGAGGCAGAUCGAGGCUGCUAAGGGGCAUCAGAGAGUGAGGCUUGUGGCCAAGUACUCGAUGAAGAUGGAGAAGUACAAACGAGCUGCGAGGAACGUUUUGACUCCUAAGGAAGGUUACGGUUUAGCUGAUGAGCUGAAGCGUGGCGGGUUUUGGGUUAAGAUGGUGAGUGAUAAGCCCGAGGCGGCGGAUAGAGCGUUGAAGGAGCAUAUGGUUGAUGUGAUGGAUAGGAGGGAGGCUGAGUGUUUGGUUCUCGUGUCUGAUGACUCUGGUUUCGCUGAGGUUUUGUGGGAGGCGAAGGAGAGGUGUUUGAGGACGGUGGUGAUUGGGGAUUUGAGUGAAGGGAAGCUGAAGAGGGUGGCUGACGUGGCGUAUUCGUGGAAGGAGGUUGUGAUGGGGAAGGCGAAGAAGGAAGUUGAGAAGGUUGUUGGGAAGUGGAGGGAUAGAGAUGUGUUGAAGACGUUGGAGUGGAGUUAUGAUCCUGUUUUGGAGAAGGAGAGAGGUUUUUGUUGCGGGGAUUGGGAUUAUGGGUUUGAUUCUGAUGGUGAUGAUGAUGAGGUUGAGAAUGGAGCUGAGAUGGGAGAUGGUGGUGAUUGGUGGGAGAUGGAUGAUGAAGAUGGUGCUGGAUCUUCGAGACCCUGUCGAUGAACCUCCAUAGCAUUGGUUGUACAGAUCGAGGAUAAAUCAGUACGAUCUUGUGAAGCUAUUGUCGUAUUACAUGGUUGGCAGUAGCAAAAGAGAAGAAAGAAGAAAACUGAGUGGGAGAGAUUGAAAAUUCUUCACUCUAGUAAGCUCUCUUUGAAAGUUUAUGUUCUUCAUUCAUUGUCUCUAGUUGUCUGAGAUUCUAUAGGCAGCGAUUCAAUUUGUUUUUCCAAACCAUCAAAUGGUUAGUCAGGAUAGAGAACAGGAUACGGUGCAUAGAAAGUUUUGGAUUUACAGAAUAGAUUGAAUUACUACAGAGUGUAUAUGCAUCAAAGUCCCUAGCUAGUUUAUUUUAAUUUUUUUCUGUUUUUGGUAAAUAAGGUAGAAGAACUACACUGUCCACCCUAGCAUCGGUUCGGUUUAUUAUAGUUUUUGUUUUUUUUUGUUUUUGUUCUAGAAAUAUAGGAUCCUUUUGGGUCUUUAGGAAAUCCAGUUAGAUUUUUGGUUCGGUUCGUGUAAUACAAAUGGGAAUCGGCUAAUACCCGAGAUAAUUUCGAAUCCAAUUCGGUUCCGAUUCGGUUCCAGUUUUUUGAGUUAAUGCGGGUGUUAAACAAGAAAAUUCAGGUUUUUAGAUUAAAUAUCAGAUUUUUAGUUUUUCGGAUAAAAACUCGUAUAUUUCGGAUAAUUUGAUAUAUUUUGGACAAAAAAUAUUCGGAUAAUUUGGUCUAUUUUAUUUUUAAAAUAUUUGAUUAUUUUAAAAUAGAAAAUUGUUAAUAUUUAUAAGUUAUAUAAAUUAUAGUAUCUGUUUGUGCAAUGAUAGGAUCUAAAUCCGAACCAAAAUCAUGUAAUUGUAAGCUAUCAAAAUUUAUAUUAAAGAAGUGUGGACUGAUAUGAAGCUAAUAUCAAAGCAUGUAAGUUAAACAAAUGCUCCUUAUUCAAUAAUUUUGUUAUUUUUAACCGAAACUGGUGAUUAUUUUUAUGACAAAAAACAUAGAUGACGUCCGAAAACUACAUAAACACAACGAUCUUAGCUUCUACCAAACAUAGGUUAGGAUCAGACAACCUUGAAACAGGCAUGGCAAUAAGAGGGUUUUUGAGCUUUAAGACAAUACCAAACUUGUCUUCCACAUUGAACACAUGGCCUUCUGGAAUCUUCAAAUCAAAUGAAUGUAACAGCGUGGCAAGAGUGUACUGAACCAUCCUCUCUGCUAGUGCUAAACCGGCGCAAAUCCUCCGGCCAGAUCCAAAAGGAAGAAAGCUAUAGUCAGUUCCAUGGAAAUCACAAGACUUCUUAUCAAGAAACCUCUCAGGAUGAAACUCAUUCGGAUUUUCCCACACGUUUGGAUCUCUCUGAAUAGACCAGACAUUGAUGAAGAUCUUAGUGUCCUUAGGGACUGUGUAACCGCCGACCACAGUUGUUUCUGCUGGACGGUGAGGGACUAACAAAGGAACGGUCGGAUAAAGCCUAAGUGUUUCUUUCAUAAUUGCUACUAUGUAAGGAAGUUUAGUGAUGUGUGAUUCUUCAACAAUGUUAUCUUUUCCUACAACUUCGUCUAGCUCAUGUUGCGCUCUCUUCAUCGACUCUUGGUUCUUUAUAAGCUCUGCCAUAGCAAACUCUAUCGUGUUUGUAGAUGUAUCAGUACCACCAAUCACCAUAUCCUUCGCAUAUGAAGUAUAUAACAAACACAUGAAUCAAAAUAAUUUUCAUGAGCUAAGAAACAUAUUAUGAAACAAUUAAGGGCAAAUCUUCGAAAAGAACAUAAAAUGUUCUUAUGACUAAAAGAAUACACAUAGAAUACAAUGACCAAAAUAUGUUUGUGUCAAUUGUAGAUGAUAAUUAUAUUCUGACUAUAGAUAUAUAAUAAUAAAUAAAUAUUUUAAAAGAUAUUUUUGCAAAAAAACUGAAUUUUUGUUUUCGAAGAAAAUAUUUGAACUUUUUUCUUAAAACUACCAAAAAUUAAACUUUAAAUUUAAAUUAAUUAACUUUUAAGAUAUAAAUGUCUUUUACCUGUUUGAUAAAAUCUAUUUUGGUUAUUUUGACGUUUGAAGACUUUAUUUUUAUGAUAAUUUUUUUUAGUGGUAAGAUAUAUCUCAACAAUUACUUACCGCGAGUACGGCUUUGAUAUGGACACAUGGUUAAUCGUAAUGGGAACCUCCGAGUUGGCUUCUUGGUCCUUUAGCUUCCUCAACUGUUGCAAAAAGUCUUUGCACUCACCAUCAUCCUUACUUCCUAGAUUUGGCAUCUUCUCAAUGGCUCCGUCGAAUAUGGCAUCGAGCUCACGAGCGUGGCGCAUCUGCUUCACGAGCCCUUGAAGAUUCGCUAGCCACGGAAAAAAAUCUGAAACAUUAGGCUCACCCAAAAGCCUAGUUAUAUCAGAGACCAAUCCUUUAAACUCUGUUCCAACACUCUUCAUCUCCUCGGCUUUCACCGAACUUCCCCAUAACAUAUUCGUCAUUAGGUUCAUCAUCGUCACAAACAACUGAUCACCAACGUUCACCGCCGAUUUUUCUUGACUUUUCUCGUAUAAAAACCUCGUUCUCUCUCGGAUCUCUUUGCGCCGUAGCGCGUAGAAUGAAUCCAAAAUUUUGCGGUUAAGUAGUUUGAGAACACAAACUUUUCUAAGCAUUCUCCACUCCGCCCUGUACGGUAACCAAACAAUGUCGAGACCACCAUAGCUAAUGGCUCGAGCCGUGAGAGGGACGUCACGGUUUGAGAAGUUUAUGUCUUGUUCUUUCAAGAUCUCUCGGGCUAGCGACGGAGUGUUGACCACGACGGUUAGUUUUGAGCCAAGGUUGAGUCUGAAGAUUGGACCGUAUUCUUGAGCGAGGUCUCUGAAGUAGGUGUGAAGGUCCGGUUUAAGAAACGGGAGGUUUCCGACGAUACGUAGCCCUCAGGGUCCAGGUGGUAGAGGCGGUUGCGGCGAGCAUUUGAGAAGGAACCAGAGAACUGUAAUGAUAGUAGUGAGAACUAGAAUUUCGUAAGGAGGAACGUCCAUUGUGUUGUCGGUAAAGAGAUUUGAAAACGGAGACAUAUCUUUUAUGUCUGUUUGUAGAAACUUUGAGAUAAAUGUGGUUUUAUGGUGUUUUUGCACAUCAUCAUUUCAGCUUCAGACGUUUCCCAAUAUAUUGAAAAAAUGUCAUAAAAAAAAUAAAAUUAUAGUAAAAACCAAACUUUUUUUGUGGACAUCUGGAAAUAUAUAUCCUGUGAAGGUGAUAAGAAACUUGCCAACAAAAAAUAAUUUAUUAAUGAAUACUUAUUCCUUUAAAAUAUGGGUUUUUAGUGCAACUAUAUUUUUACUUCGGAUGAAAAACUUUCAACUAAAACUUUACGUUUUAAAAUCCUUAACUAUUAAACUGUUAAUGACGUUAACCCUCCGUCGACAAAGUCGUCUUUUCUGAACGGAUUUCUGUUAAAUUGAAUCGCGGGAUUUUAUUUAAUUACAGAAACGACACAAGAUGUUUAAAACUUUUUUCUGGUUUUUAGUGAUUUAAACCCCCAACUAUUUUUAGAUCAGAUGAAAAAACCUCCAACUAAAAGUUUAUGUUUGUAAACUCUCAACUAUUGAAACGUAAAUGCAUGUAACCCUCCCUCAAUGGUGUCUUCUAUUCUGAACAAAGACAUGGUAAAUUGAAACACAACGUUUCAUUUAAGCAGAUAAACGACAUGAUAUAUUUAAAAUCAUCACGAUUGGUGUCAAAACGGCAUGAUUUUUUGAACCAGAUUUUAAAUCCCCUCAUUCUGUCUCUAGUUCUUUGAGAUUCUAUAGGCGGUGAUUCAAUCUGCUCUUCCAAACCAUCAUAUGGUUUAUCAAGUGUUUAGUCAGGCUAGAGAACAAGGUACAUUGCAUAGAUAGUUUUGGAUUCACAAAAUAGAUUGAAUUACUACAGAGUGUAUAUGCAUCAAAGUCCCAAGCUAGUUUAUUAUUAUUAUUUUUCUAUUUUAGUUAUAUUAAAGAAAUUUGACCCAAAAAAAGGAAUUUUGGACAGAUAUGAAACUAAUAUCAAAAAGCAAUGAUUGUAAGGUAAACAAAUGCUCUUAGUUCCAUAAUUUGUUUUUUUUUAAAACCAAAUUGAUGAUUAUUUUUAUUACACAAACAUACAUGACGUUCGAAAACUUCAUUAAUACAAAGAUCUUAGUUUCUACAGAUAAAGAUUAGGAUCAGACAACCUCGGAACGGGCAUGGCAAUAAGAGGGUUUUUGAGCUUCAAGACAAUACCAAACUUAUCUUCCACAUUUAACUCAUGGCCUUCUGGAAUCUUCCAAUCGAAUGAAUGCAACAGCGUUGCAAGAGUGUACUGAACCAUCCUCUCUGCGAGUGCUACACCGGCGCAAAUUCUCCGGCCAGAUCCAAAAGGAAGAAAGCUAUAGUCAGUUCCAUGGAAAUCACAAGACUUCUUAUCAAGAAACCUCUCGGGACGAAAUUCGUUCGGGUUUUCCCACACAUUUGGGUCUCUUUGAAUAGACCAAACAUUGAUGAAGAUUUUAGUGUCCUUAGGGACGGUGUAACCGCCGACCACAGCUGUUUCAGCUGGACGGUGAGGGACUAACAAAGGAACGGUCGGGUAAAGCCUAAGUGUUUCUUUCAUAAUGGCUACUAUGUAAGGUAGUCUAGUGAUGUGUGAUUCUUCAACAAUGUUAUCCUUUCCUACAACUUCGUCUAGCUCUUGUUGCGCUCUCUUCAUCGACUCUGGGUUCUUUAUAAGCUCGGCCAUCGCAAACUCUAUCGUGUUUGUAGAUGUAUCAGUACCACCAAUCACCAUAUCCUUCGCAUAUACAGUACGUAUAUAACAAACAUGAAUCAGAAUCAUUCUCAUGAGCUAAGAGACAUGUUAUGAAACAAUUAAGGGCAAAUCUCUAAAAAGAACAUAAAGAUUGUUUUUAUGACCAAAAGAACACAGAAAAAACUGACUAAAUUAAAUAUGUUUCUUUUUGUAAAUAACAAUUAUAUUUCUACUUAAAUAUUUUUAAAAGAGAUUUUCGCAAUAAACUGAAUUUUUUAUUUUAAAAACAAAUAUUCUAAUUUUUUCUCUCCAAAAAAACCAAAACAACCCAAAAUUAAACUCCAAGUUUAAAUUUAACUCUUGGAGGUAUAAAUGGUCUUUUACUCUUCAGUAAAAUCUAUUUUAGUUAUUUUGAUUUUGAAAACUAUUUUUGUUAUAAAAACUUUUUAGUACUACUAUAUUUC